rnacentral:rRNA from 1 species
UACGGGGGGGGCAAGCGUUGUUCGGAAUUACUGGGCGUAAAGGGCUCGUAGGCGGCCAACUAAGUCAGACGUGAAAUCCCUGGGCUCAACCCAGGAACUGCGUCCGAUACUGGAAGGCUUGAAUCCGGGAGAGGGAUGCGGAAUUCCAGGUGUAGCGGUGAAAUGCGUAGAUAUCUGGAGGAACACCGGUGGCGAAGGCGGCAUCCUGGACCGGCAUUGACGCUGAGGCGCGAAAGCUAGGGGAGCAAACGGG